AGUGAACGCUGGCGGCAGGCCUAACACAUGCAAGUCGAACGGCAGCACAGGAGAGCUUGCUCUCUGGGUGGCGAGUGGCGGACGGGUGAGGAAUACAUCGGAAUCUACCUUUUCGUGGGGGAUAACGUAGGGAAACUUACGCUAAUACCGCAUACGACCUUAGGGUGAAAGCGGAGGACCUUCGGGCUUCGCGCGGAUAGAUGAGCCGAUGUCGGAUUAGCUAGUUGGCGGGGUAAAGGCCCACCAAGGCGACGAUCCGUAGCUGGUCUGAGAGGAUGAUCAGCCACACUGGAACUGAGACACGGUCCAGACUCCUACGGGAGGCAGCAGUGGGGAAUAUUGGACAAUGGGCGCAAGCCUGAUCCAGCCAUGCCGCGUGUGUGAAGAAGGCCUUCGGGUUGUAAAGCCCUUUUGUUGGGAAAGAAAAGCAGUCGGUUAAUACCCGAUUGUUCUGACGGUACCCAAAGAAUAAGCACCGGCUAACUUCGUGCCAGCCGCCGCGGUAA
rnacentral:rRNA from 1 species